CAGUCGCCGCGGUAAUACGUAGGUCCCGAGCGUUGUCCGGAUUUAUUGGGCGUAAAGGGAGCGCAGGCGGUCAGGAAAGUCUGGAGUAAAAGGCUAUGGCUCAACCAUAGUGUGCUUUGGAAACUGUCUGACUUGAGUGCAGAAGGGGAGAGUGGAAUUCCAUGUGUAGCGGUGAAAUGCGUAGAGAUGUGGAGGAACACCAGUGGCGAAGGCGACUCUCUGGUCUGUAACUGACGCUGAGGAGCGAAAGCGUGGGGAGCGAACAGGAUUAGAUACCCCCGUAGUCCCUGUCUCUUAUACA
rnacentral:rRNA from 1 species